rnacentral:rRNA from 1 species
AUACGUAGGGUGCAAGCGUUAAUCGGAAUUACUGGGCGUAAAGCGUGCGCAGGCGGUUUUGUAAGACAGUGGUGAAAUCCCCGGGCUCAACCUGGGAACUGCCAUUGUGACUGCAAGGCUGGAGUGCGGCAGAGGGGGGUGGAAUUCCGCGUGGAGCAGUGAAAUGCGUAGAUAUGUGGAGGAACACCGAUGGCGAAGGCAAUCCCCUGGGCAUGCACUGACGCUCAUGCACGAAGGCGUGGGGAGCAAACAGGAUGAGAUGCCCUGGUAGUCCACGCCCUAAACGAUGUCAACUGGUUGUUGGGGAUUUAUUUUCUCAGUAACGAAGCUAACGCGUGAAGUUGACCGCCUGGGGAGUACGGCCGCAAGGUUAAAACUCAAAUGAAUUGACGGGG